rnacentral:snRNA from 2 species
UUGCCUUUCUCGGCAUUUUGGCUAAGAACAAGUGCAAUAUUUAUUCUUAUCAGUUUAAUAUCUGACUAGAUAAUUGCACGUAUGUUGUAACGGGUGUAAAUAUUAUAUAGUAUGUUCCCCAUGAUUACCUUCC